UCGCGGCUUAUCACCGGCAGUCCCCUUAGAGUGCCCAACUGAAUGAUGGCAACUAAGGGCGAGGGUUGCGCUCGUUGCGGGACUUAACCCAACAUCUCACGACACGAGCUGGCGACAGCCAUGCAGCACCUGUGCAAGCUCCCCUUGCGGGGUCGUCCCACUUUCAUGGUUCUACCACUUGCAUGUCAAGGCUAGGUAAGGUUCUUCGCGUUGCAUCGAAUUAAACCACAUGCUCCACCGCUUGUGCGGGCCCCCGUCAAUUCCUUUGAGUUUUAAUCUUGCGACCGUACUCCCCAGGCGGGGCACUUAACGCGUUAGCUGCGGCACGGAAGGGGUCGAUCCCACCCGCGCCCAGUGCCCAUCGUUUACGGCGUGGACUAC
rnacentral:misc_RNA from 1 species